UACGAAGGGGGCUAGCGUUGCUCGGAAUUACUGGGCGUAAAGCGCACGUAGGCGGCUUCUUAAGUCGGAGGUGAAAUCCUGGAGCUCAACUCCAGAACUGCCUUCGAUACUGGGAAGCUUGAGUUCGGGAGAGGUGAGUGGAACUGCGAGUGUAGAGGUGAAAUUCGUAGAUAUGACAUAGAACACCAAUUGCGAAGGCAGCUUGCUACACUAUUAUUGACACUGAGGCACGAAAGCGUGGGGAUCAAACAGG
rnacentral:rRNA from 1 species